rnacentral:rRNA from 1 species
UUGGUAAGGAACUCGGCAAAAAUUUCUCUUAACUGUUUAUCAAAAACAUUUCYUUAAGGAAGGAUUUAAAGUAUGUUCUGCCCCCUGAUUAACCUAUUAAAGGGCCGCAGUAGCCUGACUGUGCUAAGGUAGCAUAAUCAUUAGGUUCUUAAUUGGGAUCUGGAAUGAAUGAAUGAAUAAGGGGGAGCUGUCUAUCAAUAGAGGUUGAAAUUAAAUUUUUAGUAAGAAUGCUAGAAUCUUUCAGUGGGACGAUAAGACCCUAUAAAGCUUUACUAAYCUUUAGUAAAAAUUUUUACUACUUUUAUGAAGGGUUUAGUUUUACUGGGGCGGUAGCUAAUUAACUUAGUUAAUUUUCYUUKUUUGRGGAUCCAYCWUUGGUGAAGUAAGAUURAGUUACUUUAGGGAUAACAGCAUAAUAUACUUAUGGAGUUCUAAUCGAAGAGUAUGAUUGUGACCUCGAUGUUGAAUUAACCUAAUUGUAAGGUGAAGAAGCUUUACGAGUUAGUCUGUUCGACUAUUGAAGGGUUACGUGAUUUGAGUUCAAACCGGUUUAAGCCAGGUUGGUUUCUAUCUACUGAGUUUAAAAAGUCUUUUAGUACGAAAGGACCAGAGACUUUAGAGUUUCUAUUUAAGUAUAUAUUUAACUAAUUUUAGGUAUU